rnacentral:rRNA from 1 species
UGGUGGAGUGAUUUGUCUGCUUAAUUGCGAUAACGAACGAGACCUUAACCUGCUAAAUAGUCAGGCCAGCUUUGGCUGGUCGCAGGCUUCUUAGAGGGACUAUCGGCUCAAGCCGAUGGAAGUUUGAGGCAAUAACA